GUACGGCUCAUCUAUAAAUAACCAGCGUAUUGAGUCCUGGUGGUCUAUAUUUAGAAAGGGAAGGUCUCAGUUCUGGAUGGAGUUAUUUGCCGACCUUAGAGAUGCCGGAUACUUCAACGGGAGUCAUGAGCAUCAAUGCCUAUUGAGAUAUUGCUUUGGUGAUGUUAUUCAGAAGGACUUGGAUGAGUGUGUGAGACUGUGGAACAGCCACAGGAUUCGCCCUUCCAGAACAGCAGCAUGUCCAGGAGGAGUGCCCAAUGAACUCUACUACUUACCACACAGGUUUGGCUCCAGAGACUGCGGAUU